rnacentral:lncRNA from 1 species
GGGCCCACUGAGGUUUCUGCAGUGGGGAGCCAUGGAAAGUUUCUGAACAGAGAAGCACUUAUUGGGAACUGUCAGAGCUAUGCUUCAGGAGAUGAAUCUGGCAACAACGUGGUUAAUAUUAAUGCCCUGUACAUCCUGAGUACAUGUUUCCAGAAAGAGGUGAUCCAGGAGGCUGCCAAGUGGCCUGCAGGUGACAUCCAGAGGGCAGAAAAUGCCCAUGCAGUCCAUGUGUGGGUCCUUAAGCCCCUUGAGGAAAAGGGAGGAGAAAAGGACAAAGAAGGCUCUCCCUUUACCUUGGAUCCCCUUCUGCUCCCACAUGCCUAGUGGGAGCCUCCCUCUUCUGCUUGAGCCUUCAGGACAGGUUCAGGACCCUGUCUCCUACCUGGCUGGGCCAGAAAUGAGGAACAUGUUGCAAGCCCUCCUCCACCUGACUUGCCAAGUCCAUACAGGCUGGGGCCUUAGAUCCAACAACUUAGAAAGGUGCCCACACUCCUGUUCUUUAGAAGAAAGGGACGGCAGGAGUCUGAUCAUCUGUCUGAUGCCCACACAGUGGCUGUGCUGAGUGACGUGUUGUUUUGAGGAUGUCCCUACCCCCUGGUCUUGCCGUCGGUCUCCAGUACCCAGCGAAGCAAGCUGUGGGCUCUGAGGAGCUCACACCAGGGAGGAGCUGCCCUGGAGUGGAGCAACAGCCUGUCUUCUCCCCUGUGUGACUGCAGUGCUAUAAUAAUAAUAACAGAAAGCUGGCAUUUCUUGAGCUCUUACUGUGUGCCAGAGACACCGCUCUAAGUGCUUACACAUAUGUAUUCGUUUUCUGUAGCUGCUGUAACAAAUUAUCACAAACUUUAAACAUUGAACUUAUGGCAUAAAGCAACACAAAUGUAUUAUCGUGUAGCUCUGUGGUAGGUUAGGAGUCUGACACAAGUCUCAAAAGUUUGCCUACCCUGCUCUGCAAGCCUGUCUGCACCGCGCUCAGUUUCCUCAUCUAUGAAAUGCGAGGCCUGAGUUAGAUGCCACAAAGGGGUGAAGUGCUGUAAGUCUGCAUCCCACAGUUCCCGUCUUUGUCCUUGAUUGUCCGUGUUGCCCUCAUCCCCAUAUUGCAGGCAUCUUCCCCAAUACCCC